AAAUUUUUCCAACGAAGUGGUGUCACGGUUCACCAUUUGAGCCUACAUGCAUCCAUGAUACUCUUAAUCACCUUUUGUGGGAGUCCAACGUCUUAAGCGUGCCAUGGACUCUUAAAGAGAUUUCCAGGUUCCUAUUGACAGGGACAGGAACACCACUUUUAAAGCAUGCAUUCCGAGAAGCUAAUAGAGUAGCGGAUAAAUUAGCCAAGAAUGGAUGCAGCCUAGGCUCUUUUGAUAAAUUAAUAUUGUAUUAUUAUCCUCCCGCUUUUGCUAUUUCUAUUUUUGAUAGAGAUAGAAUAGGCACUAUGUGGCCUAGGCAAAUCUCAUGUUGUAAUGACCAUUAAAUACUAUAUUUUAAAUAAAAGUCUUUAUACCCAA